rnacentral:rRNA from 1 species
CCUACGGGGGGCUGCAGUGGGGAAUAUUGGACAAUGGGGGCAACCCUGAUCCAGCCAUGCCGCGUGAGUGAAGAAGGCCUUAGGGUUGUAAAGCUCUUUCGACGGGGACGAUGAUGACGGUACCCGUAGAAGAAGCCCCGGCUAACUUCGUGCCAGCAGCCGCGGUAAUACGAAGGGGGCAAGCGUUGUUCGGAUUUACUGGGCGUAAAGGGCGCGUAGGCGGAUGCGUAAGUCAGAGGUGAAAGCCCUGGGCUCAACCCGGGAAUUGCCUUUGAGACUGCGUGUCUUGAGUAUGGGAGAGGGUGGCGGAAUACCCAGUGUAGAGGUGAAAUUCGUAGAUAUUGGGUAGAACACCAGUGGCGAAGGCGGCCACCUGGCCCAUAACUGACGCUGAGGCGCGAAAGCGUGGGGAGCAAACAGGAUUAGAUACCCGGGUAGUC